GACAGAGGUGCCAAGCGUUAGGCGGAAUCACUGGGCUUAAAGCGUGUGUAGGCGGACUUGUAAGUACCUUGUGAAAUCCCACGGCUCAACCGUGGAACUGCUUGGUAUACUGCUUGUCUUGAGCCACUUAGGGGCUACCGGAACAAAUGGUGGAGCGGUGAAAUGCGUAGAUAUCAUUUGGAACGCCAAUGGUGAAAACAGGUAGCUGGGAGUGUGCUGACGCUGAGACACGAACGAGCCAGGGAGCGGAACGGG
rnacentral:rRNA from 1 species